rnacentral:rRNA from 1 species
GAUGAACGCUGGCGGCGUGCUUAACACAUGCAAGUCGAACGAAGCGGCUGCAGGGAUUCCCUUCGGGGAGGAACAGUAGCUGUCUGAGUGGCGGACGGGUGAGUAACGCGUGGGCAACCUGCCCCAUACCGGGGGAUAACAGCCGGAAACGGCUGCUAAUACCGCAUACGCCCAGGAGGCUGCAUAGCUUCCUGGGGAAAACUCCGGUGGUAUGGGAUGGGCCCGCGUCUGAUUAGCUCGUUGGCGGGGUAACGGCCCACCAAGGCGACGAUCAGUAGCCGGCCUGAGAGGGCGGCCGGCCACAUUGGGACUGAGACACGGCCCAG